UUUCACAAAAUAAAGAUUCCAUUAUAAAAUGGUUGGAGUCCUGGGCCUGAGGCAAGAAAUCCGGAACACACCCUCCUGAGGGAUCCCUCUCCAGCUUUGGUCAGUGGGAAGAAAACAACCACUCAGGACUUUGGGACCAUUUCCCGUUCACAUCCUCUCCUAAAGUCCCAUUUCCCCAUUCUAUCCCAUGGAAGCCUGAGGAGCCCUGUUCACCAGCUAUAGAAAAAGCCUUUUGGCUUGAAUCCGAUUUCCCCCAGCUGAGGCUCUUUAGAUGAGUCGUGGUUUUCUUAUAAAAGUUGCCUCAAGAUGCAAACCAUGAUGUGAGCAGUCCCCGAACCGUGAAGACUUGUAGAUUCAGGUCCAGUUUUAACACAUGCCCUUUCAACUGAGUUUACUGAGGCUAGAAGUUUGGACAGGCCGAAGAAGGCUAAGUAAACCCAACGGUCCUCCUGCCUCAGCCUCGGAAGCACUGGGGUGACAGGCAUGCGCCACACCCAGCUUCUUACUCCUUCUCAAAGGUUAGUGCUGACUUGCUCCAAAUCACUCAAUGUUGGUAAGGAGGGACCUGCUAAAGCCUUGAUCCUAAAAUGAUGAGGAGCUUCUUGGAAGUCCAUACUUGGUCCCAGCCUCCUGGAGCUGGGGCUGCCUCUGAGACUAGGGGCUAUCUGGCGGGACAAUAUUCUUACAGGGGUACUUCGGAACAUUGAGGGGAAAGCAUUCUUUGUGACUCUCCCAAUGAAGGGCUGGAAACAGGAGAGAAAGCGGGAGCCUGGAGGAGCACCAGUAAUCCCAGAGGCUCCUCGACGCUGUCAUCCCUAGGAUAAAGGUAGGAGGAAAACAGACUCCAGUCUACUUUCCUGGCACUAAAAUCUAAGGAGGAAUCUGUGUCAAAGGCCAGAAGGUCUUUUUGUGGGGCUCCAGGGAUUUAGAUUUCUAGCCCGAGGCUGACAGGGACAAAAGUCAGAUUUGGGGAACUCAUCAGUUCCCCUCUAGGCCCCAGAAACCCCAGUGAGGGAAUUUCAAAUGCCCGGGACUUCCAAGAAAUCUCAGACUGUCAAAGCCAAGAAUUAAGGCUGCUCUCAGGUAUCAGAGACAUUUUCUUGGUCAAAGCCAUCAUGGAUUGGCUGAACCCCCAGGGAGUAAAGCUAAAUCCUGAGGUUCACAUCAGAGCAACCAGGAGGUGGAGAAAGGGCAGAAAAGCUGGAGGGAAGGGAUGGGAGGCAGUGCCAGCCUUUCCCACACUGACGGAGACCAGCCCUCUCCUGCAUCCCUUGAGUGGUUGGUCGCCUCUGGGGGAUAACCUGGAGCUCGGCAAGCCUCUGCACCUCUCUGCCAGGGACCUCAUCCUGCUGCUUUCUCUUCUUGGACCAUGGGCUCCAGGUGGCAGGAUGCUAGCCAGCCUGCUAUCAGGGACCAGUGAGUGCACGAGCCAAGAAAGACAGCUAUCGCCCGCCCGCCCGCCGGCUCUAUUGUGGGCAGGAGGCUGAGGCCACUCACACCUCUGCUCCGGGAUGAAGCAUCUGCUGUCAAAACUCCUCUCCCUCACCUCAGGUCUUUCCACUAGCCAUUCCCACCCAGGCCUGUUUCGGCAUUCCUCCCUCUGUCCCCAAGGCCUAAUCAAGAUGUCACCACCAGCUCCCACUGUCCAAGUCACCGUCGUCUUCGCUUAGCAACACCAAACACCCUUUCCCAUCCUCCCCAAGUGCGGGGAGGAACGCCCCCUCCCCCGCUGCACACACACAGCCCCCAUCCUUUCCCUCUCCGCAGGCUUGGGAGUUGUUACUGAAUUGGCUCCCUAGCCCCAUCACCCCCCCUCCCCCGCUCCGCUAGCCGCCUUCUGCCUGAACUUACAUUAUCCUUCCCUUGCCGGUUCUCUCAGAAACCUUUCACAGCACCAAGACACUCGGGACAAGCAGUGGCCCCUCAGCUGCUUGCCGGGUUUGGGCAACUCAGUUUCUGUUUUUGGUGUAUGUGGGGGUCGGGUGGGAAUCUGUGUGGUAAAUCUUGCUUCCCUCCCCUUCUCCCCGUGGGAAUUAUCUGUAUCUCUAAAAUGGACGUGGGGAGGGGGCUUUCGGCGGGUUCUGGGAGGUGGUAAAACCCCUUGGAAGAACAGGAGAAUGCCACCUUUUCAGGGUGGCCAGUAAGGAAGACCAUCUACUCUCAUCUCUUCAGGCAGAGAGCUAUCUAUGAUGACCCAAGAAAGGGUUGUUAAAGGGUAGACACUGGGCUGACCCUCUGUUUCUGGAUCAGUCUAGGAGAGGGUGGGGGGGUCAGUAACUGGUUCUUAGACACCUCAGUUGCGCCGUCUUGGCCCUGUCUAGCCCCGAGGGGGCACUCUUUUUUUUUUUUCUUUUUCCUCCGGUUUUUCGAGACAGGGUUUCUCUGUGUAGCUUUGGUGCCUUUCCUGGAACUCGCUCUGUAGACCAGGCUGGCCUUGAACUCACAGAGAUCCGCCUGCCUCUGCCUCCCGAGUGCUGGGAUUAAAGGCGUGCGCCACCACUACGUGGUCUAGCUGAAGGGGAUACUCUUUAGACCUAAUGUCAGCCCUGCCCUGACUUUGUCUUUCGGAAGGUAGCUGCUGACAUCUAGAGUUCUCAAAUCACAGGCACAGUGUGGGCUUCUCUUCUUACUCAGAAACCAUCUGUGCAGAGGCCACUUCUCAUCUAGGCGACGUCAACCCGCCUUAAGGAAGUAAAGCUUGGCUUCAGAGCACAGUGAAGCCAAUGGCCUCAGGAAUUUUCUGCUUAGUGUUCAACGUUCUCCAGAGAGACUACCGAAAAGAGCCCAUGGGACAUUUCCCCAGCCUCCUUCACAGCGUCUCAUUUGCCUACCUUACGGCAGGAAUUGGAUUUUAUCCAUCUGACAGUAACCACUCCUCGCUAACUGGGUUCUCCGUGUCCUCAUUGCUCAAUAGUGAAUAGACUUGACUGAACCCGAGGUGGGAGAAUUGGCUGGUUCCUCAGAAGGGCCUCUUUCCAUUGAAUCGGCCCACCUGAAGUGUGUCAUUCUGUCCAGCAUGCGGCAAGCAUUGCAUACCUGUGCCUAACCUAAUUCCUCCAGUCAGUAUCUUUCUGUGUAUCACCCAGACGAGGACCGUGAUUCUCAGGUGUGCCUGACCGACUUCGAUAUCUCCAUCAGAGCGUGCCAAUAAUCCCUUCAUUGGUUCCACUUUAAAGAAAAUUAAUAAAGCACCUCAUAGCUCAUUUC